rnacentral:rRNA from 1 species
UGGGGAAUCUUAGACAAUGGGGGCAACCCUGAUCUAGCCAUGCCGCGUGAGUGAUGAAGGCCUUAGGGUUGUAAAGCUCUUUCAGCUGGGAAGAUAAUGACGGUACCAGCAGAAGAAGCCCCGGCUAACUCCGUGCCAGCAGCCGCGGUAAUACGGAGGGGGCUAGCGUUGUUCGGAAUUACUGGGCGUAAAGCGCACGUAGGCGGACUGGAAAGUUGGGGGUGAAAUCCCGGGGCUCAACCUCGGAACUGCCUUCAAAACUAUCAGUCUGGAGUUCGAGAGAGGGGAGUGGAAUUCCGAGUGUAGAGGUGAAAUUCGUAGAUAUUCGGAGGAACACCAGUGGCGAAGGCGGCUCACUGGCUCGAUACUGACGCUGAGGUGCGAAAGCGUGUGGAGCAAACA